AAGUCGAGCGGACCGACGGGAGCUUGCUCCCUUAGGUCAGCGGCGGCCGUGAGAGUAACACGUGGGUAACCUGCCUGUAAGACUGGGACCUCAAUAGAAAACCGGGGCUAAUACCGGAUGCUUGAUUGAACCGCAUGGUUCAAUCAUGAAAGGCGGCUUCGGCUGCCGUUCUCCCAAGGAAGCGCGGCGCAUUAGCUAGUUGGUGAGGUAACGGCUCACCAAGGCGACGAUGCGUAGCCGACCUGAGAGGGUGAUCGGCCACACUGGGACUGAGACACGGCCCAGACUCCUACGGGAGGCAGCAGUAGGGAAUCUUCCGCAAUGGACGAGAGUCUGACGGAGCAACGCCGCGUGAGUGAUGAAGGUUUUCGGAUCGUACAGCUCUGUUGUUAGGGAAGAACAAGUACCGUUCGAAUAGGGCGGUACCUU
rnacentral:rRNA from 1 species